AGGGCUCCGUAUCUUCAUUGUUAUUUAUUAUUUGCACCACUCACGCCCUAUCAUUCAUACCCAACAAUCAAUUCUUCAUCAUACGUUACAUAUGUUCGCCUACAUAAACCCUAACAGAGGUCAUCAUCUUCCCAUGUUACGCCUCCUCUCUCAAGAACACUAGGUUAUUUUCUUUCUUUUAUUUCAGAUUUUCAUCGUUGUAAGGUGAAAACAGGGUGCCAUCCAUCUCCCACCCAUCUCAGUGAUCAUCAGUAGAAAAUGGGUUCCCAGAUUAGAGUCAGCCCUUCCAAACUCCCCGUAACAGCCACGUACAACACUUUCUUGCAUGUAGGCGAGGCUGAAGAAGGAAAACCUUUAAGAAUUGGAAUUUUCAUGAAGACCAGCAAGGUCAGGAGUCUGGACAUCUUCAUUCUAGAUGACGAUGGUGCUGAACUUCAUGGGGUGGUUCCCAAGAAUAUACUAUGGAAGUUCGAUCCAUUACCUCAAGAUGGAAGAAUAUAUUCCCUAAGGAAGUUCACUAUUCUGGGAGAGAAAAAGAUAAUUCUCCCAACUCAGAAUGAACACCUCCUAUUUUUCAACUAGGAUACAAGUUCACUUUUGCCCCUUUCAAAGACCUGGAUUCACAUUAAGCCAACACUUAUCUCACGGUUCUUGUGGGUGUGCUGACUAGCCUCACAAAUUUUCAACACAUGAAGAGAGACAGUGGUCAGCCCUGUAUGAUGUGUGGCUUCACAUUGCAAGACCUUGGGAAACUACUCUUUUCCCUCUACAAAUGCUACUAAGGUGUUCUUCAACCUGUUUAUCCCCGAGGUGCGUGAUACUAAAGAAAGGUAUUUCCGGAUAACGUUAGCCCUCCAACUAACACUCCUUGACCUUUCAAUGCCCGAGAAUAUAAAUACAAUUUUCGAGUUGUUGGAAUGUAACAGAAUCAUCGUAAGAGCCAGUGCAACCAAAAUUACGACCCACAAUGGAUGGUACAGUUUUGGGUUGCAACAAGUGACAAACAAAGGUGGUGGGUGAAUCAGGCGACUAUGGAUGCACCUGGUGCGACACAAGGUCGCGUAACCUAUACCCGGGUUUGUAAUCUCAGUAUAGCAGUAUCUUAAUGUAUGCCCAUUAAGUAGCUAGAAAGGUGAGGUUUGUCUUCGCACUGCUCAACUAGUAUUGGAAUUUAGUUGAACACAUAGUUGUACGUGGGUCUGGCAUCAUUAAGUAGCUAGAAAGGUGAGGUUUGCAUGUGAGAGAAUGAAAUUUGUAUACUGUAGUUAUAAUAUAUGGAUUCCAUAUUGCUAUAUGGAUUCCACAGAAAGAUUGGUUUUUCAGUACUCUGUGUUGACCAUAGGUGUUGCCGCCAUUGGUAGUGAUUGAGAUCUGAAUUUAACCAAUACCUCAAAUAAAAUCAAGAAAAGGACCUAGGGAGAUGUUUCUUGAUUGAGUGGGUACACCCUUAUAGCAAUGGAUCAAGCUAUUUUAGACCGUGUUAUAGAUGGAGUGUUGAAAAAGCUAGAGUUAACUGCAAUUAAGUGGGUACUAUAGUUGGUUUAUUACAUACUUUUAUCUUUAAGGAUUAACAUGAUAAUAUGGCUUUGUUGUUACGUGUGCAGUCGAUUAUGCCUAUAUGAUUCUUAGAUUUAUGUGUAAUGCUUGCUCACGUUCUGGAAAAUAUGACUAAGAUAUUGAUGCUAACAUAAAGAGGCACUUGUCUUAUCACCUCAUUCAAGGUCCUUGAUUAUAGAAAAAUUUUAUGAUAAAGUACUGUUACUAUUCAUAAGAGCUAUGUUAGUACCUCUCUUUCUACCCGUCUUAAAAUUUAAAGUGUAUGAUAAAUUACAAGUUAACCAAAUUUUUGAUUUUUUUUAGAUUAGAUAUACACCACUGGACGGAGGAGGUGACCAGAGCGAGAAUACAUGAAACUAAUGGUGUGGGAAACUCUGGAAAUCGCAAAUACAUACUGGAAACUUACGAACUACAAAUGAUCACACCUGAGGAUCCAACAAGCCCAGGAUACAACGAUGAGCAUGAAAAAAUCAAUUAAAAAGGUUAGUAAUUGGGGAUAACCCGGAGAUAAUAGCCAAAAAGGGUUCGGUGUUCCCGAUACAGACUCCAGCGAUGAACACCUUUAUGGCCCGGGCAAUAGUUUUCAGCUUUGGGGUACAUCGGAUACUGUGUAAGUUUCCGGAAGAUUAUUCUCUCUUUAGGACAAUGGAGGUCUGGAUUACGGGUAUAUUAAGUGAUUGAAUUUAUGAGUACUGUCUUUGAGUGAUUACUUGAUUAAGCUAAGUUAUAUAUCACUUAAGAAUCUAGCUACUACAAGCAUUUCCAGCCUUAGAUUCAUUUGAAGGGACACCGACAUUUGAAGGUCUGAUUGAAAAGUUAAAUCAUCAAAGGGAACAACUACAAAUCCGGAGGCAACACUGCUCUGCCAACAAUUUCUAUCAUCACUUCUGCAACCUUGAAGUAGUUGUUUGUCUGUUUAAAUUAAUAUUUACUUACCAUACAUGGUUUUCUUUGGCUUUGUAAAUCAGUUGUGUAAAAUUUUUGAAUCCACACUUUUUCAUUUGAUAAGUUCAAAAAGAA